rnacentral:lncRNA from 1 species
CCCAAAAAAAAUCUUUCAAUUAUGGACCUGAAUGACAUUCUGAGUCAUAAAUGUCCAAAGGUCAGUCUAUUAGGUCCAAUCAGGAAAACCAUCCAUGUCCACACUGUAAACAGUUAAGGAUAAUUGUCGAGAACUAAAGGAUGUCCUUCCUGUCAGCAUUUCAAACAAACUGUCCAUUUAUUCAUGAUUGGCUUCAGGAAAACAGUACAGAAACUAGAGGUAUAUGAUUCAA